AUGAAAUGGAGGGUCCAACAUUGGCAAGGCCGACCAUUCCACUCGAUAAAAGCCUUGGCAGGAGAUUUCCCAUUCCUUUCAUUGAAGAGUUCAAUAAAGAAAAAAAUUUACACAAGUUAUAUCCAUGUUUACAACCAUCUACAAUGUGACCAGGGGAGGAUGUGAAGAGAUACAGCUAGAAAGUGUGUGACAUUCUAUCAGGCUCAUGCACUGAGUGGAUGUUCUUCUCAUCCUGAAGUAGCGUGGACUCUAGACAUGGACUGAUGUACCUCAGUGAAGGUAUUGUAAUUAGAAAACAAGUGGACAAGCUCUCUGCUUCUUGGCCAUGGAUGGAUACUAUAUGGCCAGUUCUCUUAAGCCCCUGCCACUGUGACCUCCCAAUGAUGGAAUGUAACUUGAAACUGUAAGUAAAAAUUAACUCUAACGAUUUUUUUUUUCCUAGUGACUCAUUUCAGCUCAACAAGGAAUUAAACCCCAAACCACCAUAGGAGCCCGAAGAUGACCUCACCAGCUGAGCUUUCAGGAAGAUAUUUUACAAAUUUACUUCUGCACUUAGCUGUAUGCCACCUUAGUGUUCUGAAGUCUAUCUCAAGAGACAGAAGCCUAGUGUAACUGCCCUCUGAGAGGCUACACGCAGCAGCAGAUCAAAACAGAUUAUGAGACCUACAGUCAAACAUUGAAUGAAGCUUGAGAAAUCUCGUGGAAGGGUGAGGCGAAGAAUAGAAGGACACACAGAGUCUGACCAUGCUGCUGAUGUUGAUCUCAGAUUCUGAGGAGGUGCUUCUUGACUGUGUUCUGAGGAGCCUCUACUAAAGACAGAGAUCCUACACCUAGCUGGUGGUGACCCAUGGCAAGGAAAGAACAUGAGGAGCUGUGCACUAAAGAAUAGUUGAAAAGAAUGGAUAAUUUGAUGGACCACGAUGAGGAAGAUUGAGGAAGCAGAGAAAUUACAUCAGUUUGAAUUCAUCUUGAAUGACCUGGAAGAGUAACUGAAGAACAUGUGCCUGGAAGGUGAUCAUAUCCUGCUGAUGCUUAAGGUCAGAUCUCAUCCUCUGAAUGAUCCACAUCUGCCUUACUGGAAAGAAAGACUCUCUUACUGCACUGCUCACUGGGUUCUCAGUCUCAUCACUGAAGUCAACAAUAGCUCUGCUCAGUGUCAUGUGAAACUUCCAACAGAUGCAGCCCACCUCACUCUGCUAAUGGUAUUGUAAAACUACCUGCUUUCUGACAUUCA